ACCUUCUUCAUAUUCCUCAUCCUCUCUGCCACACCCCACACUCUCAGCAUCAACAUGUCCCGCAAAAGCAUGAUUACCAUCAGAUUCAUAAUCAGAACCAUAACAUUCCUCUUCUGUACCAGCUGAUAUACUUAUCUUUUCCUCAUCAUUUGCCGAUCCCACACCAGUUGCAACCAAAUGAUGUGGCUCUCGUGUAUCUUCAACAUUGAUACCCUCCAACACAGAUGCCUCCACUUUAUCACUGGACACAUUUGAUUCUUUGAGGUCAAAGUCCGCAUUUUUAACAGCAAUAUCAGCAUUUGCCUGAUGUAGAGCAUUUUUACUUCUAUUAGCUUCCUCAGUAUGAACAGAGUACUCAGAUUGAGUAGACAAGUCCCCACUCAUCACAGACAAUUGCCGAUCCCACACCACUUGCAACCGAAUGAUGGGGCUCUCGUGUAUCUUCAGCAUUGAUGCCCUCCAACACAGAUGCCUCCACUUUAUCACUGGACACAUUUGAUUCUUUGAGGUCAAAGUUUGCAUUUUUAGCAGCAAUAUCAGCAUUUGCCUGGUCUAGAGCAUUUUUACUUCUAUUAGCUUCUUCAGUAUGAACAGAGUACUCAGAUUGAGUAGACAAGUCCCCACUCAUCACAGACAAAU
rnacentral:lncRNA from 1 species